AGCGACGACGGGUAGCCGGCCUGAGAGGGCGACCGGCCACACUGGGACUGAGACACGGCCCAGACUCCUACGGGAGGCAGCAGUGGGGAAUAUUGCACAAUGGGCGGAAGCCUGAUGCAGCGACGCCGCGUGAGGGAUGACGGCCUUCGGGUUGUAAACCUCUUUCAGCAGGGACGAAGCGUAAGUGACGGUACCUGCAGAAGAAGCGCCGGCCAACUACGUGCCAGCAGCCGCGGUAAGACGUAGGGCGCGAGCGUUGUCCGGAUUUAUUGGGCGUAAAGAGCUCGUAGGCGGCUUGUCGCGUCGACCGUGAAAACUUGGGGCUCAACCCCAAGCCUGCGGUCGAUACGGGCAGGCUAGAGUUCGGUAGGGGAGACUGGAAUUCCUGGUGUAGCGGUGAAAUGCGCAGAUAUCAGGAGGAACACCGGUGGCGAAGGCGGGUCUCUGGGCCGAUACUGACGCUGAGGAGCGAAAGCGUGGGGAGCGAACAGGAUUAGAUACCCUGGUAGUCCACGCUGUAAACGUUGGGCGCUAGGUGUGGGGGGCCUCUCCGGUUCCCUGUGCCGCAGCUAACGCAUUAAGCGCCCCGCCUGGGGGAGUACGGAC
rnacentral:rRNA from 1 species